AAAAUCCAUAACAAUAAACCUUCUCACUACUACAUGGUGUGUCUUCAGGCUGAAGGAAAGGAUGAAGUGGAGGGAACAUACCUAUCUUUCUUUCUCUGGAGCUCCUCUUUAUGAGCCUGACACCAGUCUGCGUGAAAGGCGAACUCCUCACUCAGCGUGCAGCAGGUGGUCAACGCUGUCACCAUUUCCUUGCCAAGAAAGAAUUAGAACUUAAAACCUCCAAUAAUUGUCUUCAAAUAUUUGACAAACUCUCUCUCUUGUGGCAUAAAAUUGGACAUCUACUGAGUGGCCAACAGAGAGAAAAACUACACACCACUGGAUGGAUGCUGUUGGACAAAUCUGUCUACACACGGAAAAAGAAUUUCCACCACUAUGAUUCACUAUCACCAAGUAUCAGGAACAGACCUCCUCUUCAGAACAGGGGCAGAGUGGACUGAAACGCGUCUUCUUACUUUCUUGCUCGAAUAUGAAUGAAUGUAAACUGGCUUUUAUGGCAAGCGGAAGCAAUUUUUUAAAUAAAGCAAAAGGAGUAUAUAUCAAGUGAAAGAGAAACAAAUCAGAAACGUCAAAUAAUUAAUUUCUAUAAUACAUAAGUGCAUAUGAAUUGAUAUUAAAAAUACACUAAUUUCAACAGGAAAAUGGGUAACAGACAUGAACAAGUUGUUCAUAGGAAAUUUAUAACUACAAUAGCUGAAAUCAUAUGGGAAAAGCUUAGCUUCAUUAAAAAAUCAAAUAAAUGCUUAAAACACAGCCACUCUUUUUUACAUAUAAAUCUAGCAAAGCUAAUUUCCAUGUGCAGUGUUGGUGGAGGUGGGGUGAAAUGAGCAUUUUCAAGCACUGUUGCAGGACUAUCUGCUGGUAAA